rnacentral:lncRNA from 1 species
CGCUCACCCUCCUCCUCUUCCUCCUCCUCCUCCUCUUCCUCCUCCCCUCUCCUUCCUCGCCGCUUCCCCAGGCACUCUCCCGGCGGCGGCAGCUGCGCCGCCAAAGCCCCGGGCCCCAGCGGCCCCCCACCCCUCACUCGCGCGCUCCCACACUGCCUCCCCCCUCCCCGGGGGAAGGCCUUUUAAUUUAUUUAUUCUGCUGGGACUUAGGUGGGGGGCUUGGCUGGCGGGGGAGGGGGUCUCCCCAGGCUCUACCUCCCGCGGCUGGGGCUACCCUCCGAGCCGCGGCCGCCGCGGUGCGCGCCUCGGGCCUCCAAAACUGUUUCCAAACUGCCAAGACCGGAGGUGGGCGCGUGGGGGCUCGGGGGGAAGGGCUGGGUUUUGGGGUGUGUAUGUGUGUGUGAUUGUGUGUUUGAACGUUGGGAGCCGUGGGGAGAGGCAAGACGACUCAAGACGAGUUGCAAUCGAGGUAUCUCCGCUCCGGCUUCCUCUUCUGCCCCGCGACCCCCUCCCCCCUGGAACUGAGCUGGGGAGGGAAAACCAGGAUUUUAACCAAAUUAGCAUUCACAUUCCUGGGAGGAUGCAGCCCUCGCCUGGACCUGGGUGAUAGAAGCUUCUUUCUCUGUUUUUAUUUUUGGAGAGGAGCACCCUGUAAUUGUCUUGAACACAUGCCUCUCUCUCCCCCCCUCCUUCUUCCUCCAGCCACCAGCGGAGGAGAGAGUCCCCCUUUUUUGCAUUUAUCUUUUCCUUCCCCUUUCUUUAUUAAAGGUCCGGGAGUGGCGGCGGCCAAUCAGCGCGCGGCUUCCAUUUUAGCAGUAAACAGUCCUCUGCGAAGCCGCCUUUUGCCAACCCAACCCUGGAAAGUUUGCAGAAGUGGAAGGAGCAGAAAAUGCCAUGACAGUGUAACUUACCAAAAGGGUCUCGACCGGAGAAGGGGCAGCGGGCCUGGUUCCCUCAGAGUGGACAGUCCUUUGGACAGCAGGAGCAGGCCUAGUUUGACUCUGACAAUCCUCCCACUAAGGUAG